CCGGCUGCAAACAAAAACACAAUGAUAAAAAUCUGGACGUCAUGAAAUGACACGUGAGCGGAGAGGAUCGGCGUCGGGAGCAACAAGCCUGCAGGAGCUCAGGUGUGACAACGGGAUGCAGAGGAGCAGCUGCAGGUGAGUCCGACCAUGUAGCUGGAGCAGGAUUUUAGAGAACGGGGGAGGUGGCGGCAGCACAACUAAAGUCUUCUAACCCUGACUCCUGCGUGAUGUCACCUUGUACACCUGGAAGCUCACUAACAGGAGGUGAUAUGAGAUGACAGGACAUGAAGUGAGGUGAUAUGAGGUGAACUGGAGUGGACUGAGGCGACAGGAGGCGACCCGUCAUCCCGCCUAUCGGACAGUAUUUCCU